ACUAGAGUCCCUUCAAGCUUCAUCUAUUUCUGAAGAAGCUGCAGAUCUGAAAGGGAGUGCGGUUGAGUCCAGGGAAAGCGCCAACGAGGCCAUUCUCAACAUUGCAAACAUUGAAGACCAGUUACCUCAAGCAGCUGAGGAGGCGCGUGCAUUAAGAAAAAUAUUGCAGAAGGACAGAAAGCUAUCCAGCUCGCGUACAAACAGGUUGAAGAAGUGGAGCAAGUUGUCCCAGAAAUGGUGGAGCUUGCCAGCACCUUCGUACCAGGAAAGACGCCAUCCAGGCCAAAGGGAUUGACGUUGGCGAUCGCCUGGAGAAGCUGAGAGACACCAUCAAGAAGACUCGCGAACUUGCUAACAAGAUUAAAGUAGGAGUUUCAUUCCUGCCCAAUACAACACUGGAACUGCAAAAUCCUGAAGACCUGUCUAAGGCUGCUACAGCUACAAAGGUAUCAUUUUAUGUACAAAACCACUGAGCCCACAGGCCUCCUUGUGUUCAUGGGGACGCCAGUUGGAGGUAGCCAAAGAAUGAGGCGCUCGCUCAGUGACGACUUUAUGGCUCUGGAGCUUGAUCAGGGAUUCCUUCACCUCACGAUGGACCUUGGAGCUGGAGCUCACACCAUCGAAUACAAUGAUCU